AUUCUCCCAAAAAUCCCAGUUUCAAUUUCCCUUAUCCUCAUCUGCUCCGUUCUGAAAUUCUCUUGCUGCUAUUUUUUUUUUUUCAUUUGUAGGAAAAAAGAGGUGCUCGGGUGCUGCAGCAGAAACGAGCGACAAGUAGGACGCUCAUCCUGACCCUGCUCAAGAAAAGACCAAUCACAAGAACGCUCAUCCUAUCCCUGCUCAAGGGUGCUAUCAAGGACUCCCGGUACAGGCGCCUCCACAGCAUAGCAAUGCUGCUCGGCGGACUGAGAGUCGCACUGGUUUCCUCAAGGGAUUGUAAUAAUUCUUCUCCAAUUCUUUUAAAUAGGUCUAAAAAUUGAUCACCCUUUUUGUGUGCAAUGUACGCGUCUUACUGAUUUCGGGAGACAUCCUUCAUUAGGAGGGAAGCAGGAAAGGGAAUAAAAGAAAAAAUCCAAAACCAAAGAUACCCUUUAUUUGGUUUCUAUGUAUGUUUUGGUUACUUC